CCCGAGCGCACUCCCCUCGGACCACAGGGGCAGCGUGUCAUCACAGUGCUGAUGCUCGUGGCCGCUCGUGGCCUGUCGUGGCAAAAAGAUGCCAAUCUGUGUCUUGAAACCACACCAGUUUGUUGGCCACGUGGCAGCCGAGAUUUCCGGUCAGCUAGAGUUCAGCCAUCGGAUUACCACCAUUUACCCCAAUGACGUCCUGUUCCACCCUUGUGUUCCGUUCUGUCCUUUACAUCAUUUCAGUCAGCCUUCUUUGCAGAAACAGCCUUCGCUGGGAGAAGACCUAUUUCAUAUCAUCUUUCUUAAGGAUCUACUGACAUCACACUUAAGAUUAGGAAAAAAGAAGGACAACUGUAGCCAU